rnacentral:lncRNA from 1 species
AAUUAGGGCAAAGUACACCAUUGAAAAAAACAUCUUGUUUCUUCAUUGGUUGUUUUUCUCAAUUUAGAUGUUUGGUCCGUCUGAUCUUAUCAAAAGUCAUGGCAGAAAAUGCAGAGAAAAGAGAUGGAGAUAUCAACUCAAUACUGACUUACUUGAACUUGGCUCACAAGAAACUUGCUGAGUCUUUCACAGAAGAAAAAUUUACAGGGGACAUGAGGAUCCUUGAAGCUCACUGGUUUAGAAAAGUUGGUAGGUUGCUCUCAGAAUCUAAACUGAAUCUCCUGUCUUUAUUGGUCCUUGAGUUUGCCUUGAACUACAGACUGUAAAAUCCAAACAACAAAUAUCACAGAUAAAGUGGUUUCUAGUGGGAAAUGC